rnacentral:rRNA from 1 species
UACGUAGGUGGCAAGCGUUAUCCGGAAUUAUUGGGCGUAAAGCGCGCGCAGGCGGUUUCUUAAGUCUGAUGUGAAAGCCCACGGCUCAACCGUGGAGGGUCAUUGGAAACUGGGGAACUUGAGUGCAGAAGAGAAAAGCGGAAUUCCACGUGUAGCGGUGAAAUGCGUAGAGAUGUGGAGGAACACCAGUGGCGAAGGCGGCUUUUUGGUCUGUAACUGACGCUGAGGCGGCGAAAGCGUGGGGAGCAAACAGG